AGCGAACGCUGGCGGCAGGCUUAACACAUGCAAGUCGAACGGGCUUCUUCGGAAGUCAGUGGCAGACGGGUGAGUAACACGUGGGAACGUGCCCUUCGGUUCGGAAUAACUCAGGGAAACUUGAGCUAAUACCGGAUACGCCCUUUUGGGGAAAGGUUUACUGCCGAAGGAUCGGCCCGCGUCUGAUUAGCUUGUUGGUGGGGUAACGGCCUACCAAGGCGACGAUCAGUAGCUGGUCUGAGAGGAUGAUCAGCCACACUGGGACUGAGACACGGCCCAGACUCCUACGGGAGGCAGCAGUGGGGAAUAUUGGACAAUGGGCGCAAGCCUGAUCCAGCCAUGCCGCGUGAGUGAUGAAGGCCUUAGGGUUGUAACGCUCUUUUGUCCGGGACGAUAAUGACGGUACCGGAAGAAUAAGCCCCGGCUAACUUCGUG
rnacentral:rRNA from 1 species